UAGGGUGACAUUUGCGACGUUGUACCACCCUGUUCCAUUCCGAACCAGGCCGUGAAAGACGUCAGCGCCGAUGAUACUCUAGCUGAUGCUAGCGGGAAAGUAGGCCGUUGCCCCCU
rnacentral:rRNA from 1 species